UACGUAGGGUGCGAGCGUUAAUCGGAAUUACUGGGCGUAAAGGGCGCGUAGGCGGCCUUCUAAGUCGGACGUGAAAUCCCUCGGCUCAACCGAGGAACUGCGUCCGAUACUGGAGGGCUUGAAUCCGGGAGAGGGAUGUGGAAUUCCAGGUGUAGCGGUGAAAUGCGUAGAUAUCUGGAGGAACACCGGUGGCGAAGGCGGCAUCCUGGACCGGCAUUGACGCUGAGGCGCGAAAGCCAGGGGAGCAAACGGG
rnacentral:rRNA from 1 species